rnacentral:rRNA from 1 species
GGGUGAGUAACACGUGGGUGAUCUGCCCUGCACUUUGGGAUAAGCCUGGGAAACUGGGUCUAAUACCGAAUACACCCUGCUGGUUGCAUGACCUGGUGGGGGAAAGCUUUUGCGGUGUGGGAUGGGCCCGCGGCCUAUCAGCUUGUUGGUGGGGUGAUGGCCUACCAAGGCGACGACGGGUAGCCGGCCUGAGAGGGUGACCGGCCACACUGGGACUGAGAUACGGCCCAGACUCCUACGGGAGGCAGCAGUGGGGAAUAUUGCACAAUGGGCGCAAGCCUGAUGCAGCGACGCCGCGUGGGGGAUGACGGCCUUCGGGUUGUAAACCUCUUUCAGUAGGGACGAAGCGCAAGUGACGGUACCUACAGAAGAAGGACCGGCCAACUACGUGCCAGCAGCCGCGGUAAUACGUAGGGUCCGAGCGUUGUCCGGAAUUACUGGGCGUAAAGAGCUCGUAGGUGGUUUGUCGCGUUGUUCGUGAAAACCGGGGGCUUAACCCUCGGCGUGCGGGCGAUACGGGCAGACUGGAGUACUGCAGGGGAGACUGGAAUUCCUGGUGUAGCGGUGGAAUGCGCAGAUAUCAGGAGGAACACCGGUGGCGAAGGCGGGUCUCUGGGCAGUAACUGACGCUGAGGAGCGAAAGCGUGGGGAGCGAACAGGAUUAGAUACCCUGGUAGUCCACGCCGUAAACGGUGGGUACUAGGUGUGGGUUUCCUUCCUUGGGAUCCGUGCCGUAGCUAACGCAUUAAGUACCCCGCCUGGGGAGUACGGCCGCAAGGCUAAAACUCAAAGGAACUGACGGGGGCCCGCACAAGCGGCGGAGCAUGUGGAUUAAUUCGAUGCAACGCGAAGAA